rnacentral:rRNA from 1 species
GACAGAGGGGGCAAGCGUUGCUCGGAAUUACUGGGCGUAAAGGGCUCGUAGGCGGCCAACUAAGUCAUACGUGAAAUCCCUCGGCUUAACCGGGGAACUGCGUCUGAUACUGGAUGGCUUGAGAUUGGGAGAGGGAUGCGGAAUUCCAGGUGUAGCGGUGAAAUGCGUAGAUAUCUGGAGGAACACCGGUGGCGAAGGCGGCAUCCUGGACCAACACUGACGCUGAGGAGCGAAAGCCAGGGGAGCAAACGGG